UUAAUAUGCUUUUAGGUAAACUAAGUCGUUAAUGCUUUACCCUCGAGCCAUAACUCAUUUUGCUUAAGUCUCAGUUUGCUAAGCCCUUUUCGAGUGUUAACAAAUCCGUUUUUAAAUAUUUCACACAGUUUUCCAUUGGCUGGAAAACCCCACUCCACCCAAAACGACGCUUAAUGUUCAUAAAAAGCACGAAUUCUUAAAAUUCGGCAUCAUUUGUGAGUUGAGUUUUGAUAAAGUGCAGUAAUGUGAUUUCCAGUGGCCAUCGGUUUGGUAGACCCGACUUGUGUCGGGUCCACCUUCCACCUUCCACCUUCUAUCUAAGUCCGCAUUAUACUCCAUCUCGAUCUAGCACCUUAUCCUCUUAUUCUAAUUACGCUAACGCGAAUUUUGCUUCGGUGGAGGUCCUAUUGUCACGCUACCUUUGGUUACCUGUUUUCUGCCUUGUGUGGACAUGACCUAAUGUUUCUAAGAGGCCAGCGACCUUGCCAUGUGGUCGAACAUUACCUGUUUUUAAAGUGAGAGAAUAUCAGGAAAAGGUUCAAGAAAGGCGCAGCAUAAGUAGAAGAAAAAGGUCCUUGCUGAGAAAUGGCAGAGAAUGGUUUGGAUGCAGCUUAACUGAACUCUUUCGGGAUGUAGUGUCAAAAGUUAGAAUACUAUUGAUGAUUGCCAACCUUCGUCGAUGAGAUGGCACGUAAAGAAGAAGAAGAAAAACCCCAUACCUACCCUAAAUUUUUAGAUAUUAAUAAUUAUGUCGAGUUUGUCUAAAAAGUCUACUUAGAACUCACAAAAAAUAACCCUGUAUAUACGUAAAUAUUCCUUUCAGUUAUAACCAGCCAUUUUGAUUAUAUUUCUGUCUCCAUU